UGUCUUCUAAAUAAAGACCAGUAUGAACGGCUAAAUGAGGACAAACCUGUCUCUUGCAACCAAUCAGUGAAACUGAUCUCCCGGUCCAAAAGCCGGAAUAACCCCAUAAGACGAGAAGACCCUGUGGAGCUUGAAACAAACUACUAUGCACCACACAAGCUGCAACUAGUAAAUAGUUUUAAGUUGGGGCGACUUCGGAACCAAAAAAAACUUCCGAGCACAGAACCACCCACUCUUACCAAGACUAACAAGUCAAAGUCCAAAAACGACCCAGUAACACUGAUCAACGAACCAAGUUACCCCAGGGAUAACAGCGCCAUCUUCUUCAAGAGUUCAUAUCGACAAGAAGGUUUACGACCUCGAUGUUGGAUCAGGACACCCCAAUGGUGCAGCCGCUAUUAAAGGUUCGUUUGUUCAACGAUUAACAGU
rnacentral:rRNA from 1 species